rnacentral:misc_RNA from 1 species
UGCGUGGCGUGGGAUCCGCAGG